rnacentral:snRNA from 1 species
AAAAAGGGCUUCUGUCGUGAGUGGCACACGUAGGGCAGCUCGUUUGCUCUACGUGCGGAAUCGACAUCAAGAGAUUUCGGAAGCAUAAUUUUUGCUAACGGGGUAGCUGGUGAUCGUUGGUCCUGGCGCCCCC